rnacentral:piRNA from 1 species
UUGCCAAAGCAAGGGACUCCAGCCUCUUA